AACCACCAAGAAUAACUAAAAUGUAACUUUCUUCAUCACUUCAAUGGUUCUAUUUUUAUCCUUUUAGAGGUUCAAACCAUGCAUUUCUGGUAUGUAGCUAGUUGAGAAAUCUCCUGCUUGAAAAAGGAAAUGCAAGAUUCAAGCCUUUUGUGCCAAUUGAAAAUUUAAGAAGUUGAAUAUGUAUUCAAGUAAAUUAAGCAUUUUACCUACGCAUGCAUAUCUAUCCUUUCACCUCUUAUGCAGAGAGCUUUCCAGAAAGAAUCUCAAGGGAGAAAUUCCACCAGAGAUCAAUACUAUGGAUGGGUUGGUGGAAUUGUAAGUCCAACUUGCUUCAAGCAAAGCACUUCGUAACCUAUCCUCAUUGCAACUCAUUGUCAUGUCCUCCUUUUCUUCAGGUGGUUGGAUGGAAAUUCUCUUGCAGGGCCACUUCCUGACAUGAGUAAUCUAAUAAACUUGAAGAUUUUGUAAGCACUUGAGGUUAUCUACAAUUUUCCAUUCAUGAAACAAGACAUUAUGUUUCAUCGUGAUUUAGCAUUGUUAUCUUUGAACAUGCAGACAUCUUGAGAAUAACAAAUUAACAGGGACAUUGCCUUCUUACCUGUGUAGUUUGCCCAACUUGCAGGAACUGUAAGUUCAAAUCUCUAACUUUGAGCGUUGUAUGUCAAAUAGGUUGAAUAGAAAGUUAGGUUAUUGUUUCUCUCAUAACAUUUACGAAAAGCUUGCUUGUUAUAUUGACCGUGUGAAUUGUGUGUGGCAGAUAUAUCCAAAACAAUACAUUUUCUGGUGAAAUACCCUCAGAAUUAUUGGCCAAGAAACUCAUCUUUAAGUAAGUACUCCAACUGAUGCCCCACCAUAAGGCUUUAACUGCCUUUGAGAAUGUGGUUUUCUUUUUUUAGAGACAAAGCAUAAAAAAAUAAGUUACAAAUGCCUUAAGAGUCAGGACUCAUCUAGAGGGAGUCAUGGCUUUAUGGAUGACUGCGUUUUUGUUAGUAGAAAUGAAUCUGUUGGUCCCUAUUUCUUGCACGAAGUAUAUGUAGAUUGUGCACUGUAAGACCUGAUAAAACCACUCACGUGUUUGAAGUUGCUAUUUCUUAUCGAAGAGGAGCAGUCUUAAUAAGAACGACAGGGAUGGGACAUGAAGAGGGGUCCUGAUGUGUUUGUUUUACUUCUUUGUGAUCUUACCUUGCAGGUAUGAUGGUAACGUGGGGCUGCACAAAACUGAACGAUACAAGGUGCAUUCUAAGCUUAUAUUAGGAGUUUCAUUGGGGGUGCUUGUGCUUCUGGUUAUUCUACUUUUAGGAAGUUUGCUGUUACUUCGCAAGCUUCGAAGAAAAACAGCACCUUACCAGAAAAAAGGUUCCCACUCGAGAAACCUGCUUAAUAUUUCUAUUAUAGCGCUACCUUUUCUAAAUUAUGUCAUGUCUUGUGGGCUUUAGGUGGUUCUCUGAAUAUCAGCACGAAACGCUCUUCUGCAUACUCGAUCGGCAAGGGGGACGAAGGCAUGGCCUAUUAUUUAUCCCUCUCCGAGCUGGAAGAAGCGACAAAUAACUUCUCUAAGAAAAUUGGUAAAGGCAGCUUUGGGUCAGUCUUUUAUGGGAAAAUGAUUGAUGGCAAAGAAGUUGCCGUCAAGAUCAUGGCCGAGUCAUCUACACAUGGGAAUCAACAAUUUAUGACUGAGGUAGGUCGUUGGCCUAUUAUUGGAUGGAUCUCGUUGUGUUUACAUAAUUUUAUAUUGCUAAAAAUGAAUCAAACGUUUACGCAUAGAUUAGUCCAUUUAAGAUGCCUGUGGUUCUUAUGUUGCCAAGAGAGAACUAUAUACUCUUAACUCAACAACUUUAAAAAAGAAAACGAGGGAGAGUGAAUACAGUUUACAUGUAAAAUAGUACUCGAUUUUACCAAACCUGUAAAUAUCAACAGGUUGCCCUCUUAUCAAGAAUUCAUCACCGAAAUUUGGUCC
rnacentral:lncRNA from 1 species